AUGAGUAUCAUUGGUAGUGUAGAUUGGAUAGACUCUUGCCUCUGAUAUUCUUGACAAUGAAUCUUCCAUCCACUAAUUUUAUAAACAUCUCUCUCUCUCAGAAUGGCUACAGCUGGUUCAUUGAUUGUUUUCAGGCCUUUCAUUCACUGGCAUAUCAAGCUACAUCUAACUUUUAAAAAAAGGCAUUUAAUCUAAGAGUCUAAAAUAUGCCAGUAUGCUACUUCCAUCAUCAUCAUCAUCAUCAUCUCAGCUGUUUUGUAAAUACAGCAAAAGUACUUGCUCAGUUUGCAGCUUCUGCAGUUCACAUAACUGGAGCUUUUAUCCUGCUGUAAAGUAUCACUGAUAACCUUUUAUGUUUGCUUCCUUAGAUCAUGAAUAAAAAAUUCUGUCCAGUCUUGGUAUCAUACAUGGCAAAGCUGGGAUAGAGUUAAUUUUCUUAGUGGCUGGUACGGUGCUGUGUUUUGGAUUCCAUAUGAGAAUAAAUAUUGAAAACACACUCAUGUUUUAGUUGUUGCUAAGUAAUCCUCAGUCUAAAUUCAGGACUUUUCAGUUUCCCAGGCUCUGCCAAUGAGGUGCACCAGGAUCUGAGGGGGAAGCAUGGCCAGGACAGCUGACCUGAGCUCACCAAAGGGAUGUUCCACACCAUGGAGCAUCAAACCAGUACAGAAAUUGGGGGAGGUGGGCAGGAGCUGACAGUCACUGCUUGGGGAUGAGAUGGGCAUUGGUCAGUGCAUGUUACGCACAUUUAUACCAUGAUGGGAUAUGAAAUGAAUUAAAUUCAGCAUGUGUAACACUAGUGAAAGGCAAUGAACUUUACAUCAGGAAGGAACUGGAUUCAUGCUAUAUAUAAGAGGAAUCAAACAGCCUUCAAGUCUGAGUUUCAUGAGACACAAGAGGUUGACACCUAACAAACUACAGUAUGAUGGAUGAAGACCGACACAAAACUUAAACUUUCCCAUGGAAAUAUAUGUUGUGAACUGCACACAAUCAAUUAUUUCAGACAAAGCCCAUGCUGUUUCCUCUUCUAAGACACUACUACAUAUUUAGGUUUUCAGCUUGAAAGCCCAU